rnacentral:hammerhead_ribozyme from 1 species
ACACUGAUGAAGAGUCCCACAAUAGGACGAAACGGCUUUCCAGUGA